rnacentral:rRNA from 1 species
UACGUAGGGUGCAAGCGUUGUCCGGAAUUACUGGGCGUAAAGAGCUCGUAGGUGGUUUGUCGCGUUGUUCGUGAAAACUCACAACUCAAUUGUGGGCGUGCGGGCGAUACGGGCAGACUGGAGUACUGCAGGGGAGACUGGAAUUCCUGGUGUAGCGGUGGAAUGCGCAGAUAUCAGGAGGAACACCGGUGGCGAAGGCGGGUCUCUGGGCAGGAACUGACGCUGAGGAGCGAAAGCGUGGGGAGCGAACAGG